GCCACAUUCAUAAAAAUCUGCAUCAAUGGAGGUGACCCAUUAUCACUUUCACCACUGCUGAAAUGCAACAUCCACCAUCUCACUGUGCUCACAUCAUCUGUUUGGUCUUCAGAAAAGCUCAGCAAGAGCCAGUGAAUGUCAGUGGGUGCCAUUUUUUCUACAUGGAGGAAUUCAGUGACAUACCUUUGCUUCAUUCGCACUUCCAUGUCAGACACCGCUUUGUCAGACUGCCUUUCUGAUGCCAUCUGUCGCACUGCAAGAAAAAGUCUUGGAGUACUGGUGAGAAGGUUCAGCCAUACCACUACCAUCCGCCUCUGAUGUUGUGGUCCAACAAAAUAAGUCUUGGGACCAGUGCUAUUCAACAUCUUCAUCGCUGACACAGACGAUGGCAUCGAGUGCAUCCUCAGCAAGUUUGCAGAUGGACCUGGACAGGCUGGAGAACUGGGCCCAUGUGAAACUAAUGAAGUUCAACAAGGCCAAGUGCAAGGUGCUGUUCUUGGGCUGGGGCAAUUCCAGGUAUUUCUACAAACUGUGGGAAGAUCUCCUUGAGAGCAGUCCUGCGGAAAAGGACUUGUGGGUCCUGGUGGACAAGAAGCUGGAUAUGAGCCAGCAGGGUGUGCUUGCAGCCCGGAAGGCCAACUGUGUUCUCGGCUGCAUUGAAAAAGGGGUGGCCAGCAGGGAUAGGGAGGUGAUUAUCCCCCUCUACUCAGCUCUUGUGAGGCCCCAUCUGGAGUACUGCGUCCAGGCCUGGGGCCCCCAGCCCAAG
ensembl:lncRNA